UGCAGCUCGCGCCCUGGCCGCGGCCGGGCUGCUGCUGGGGAUGCUGCUGCGGGGAUGCAGGAUGAGGAUGCUGAGGAUGCUGAGGUCGCUCCCUCCUCCUUAGCGCCCCCCUCCUCUCCUUUCCCCUCCUCCCCGGCCAGCCUCUCCAUUCUCCCGGUGCCUCCUGCGCCCGCGCCAGCCAGCAGGGGAAAGGGUCCUGUGCCGCCGCCCGGGCUGCCCCACGCCGCCCCACGCCGCCAGCCGCCACCACUGCCGUCGCCGGGAGGCUCUGCCCUCGCGCCUCGUCUCGCCUCGCCUCGCUGCCUGAGCUCCAGAUGUGGCCUUAGGCAUGGUGAUGGUAGCAGUGGAUUUUCCCCAAACUCCGUGCACUAAGUUGCCAGACGCCGAGCCGCGGUCACCCGGGAGCCGGACCGGACGCCCUCCUCACGCAGCCCCUCGAAGCCCGUCCGGAGCUCGCGGCCGCCGAGGGCAGCAGCGGUGAGCACAAUUCCCUCUCUUUCCCUGGCACCGAGAUCGUUUUCUUGGAGAGUCUCUAUGGACUUUGGCAAAUGUUUUUGGCCCCCUUCCAGGAGAUUGGGUUUAUACCAGUCCAAAUGAAUUGGGCAUUUAAUCAGUCACCCAGUGAACAUGCUGCUCCGGGCCCUCUGGUGUCUUCUUUAUAAUUAAUUUUUAACAUUUGUUUUCAGCAUAGAACGUGUGCCUUUAUCCUCCCUGAAAUAAAAACAGUCUGCACAUUACCAAGUCCUGGCGGUGCACACAACGCACCGGUUUUUUGUCCCCCUCCCGCUAUUAACUGCCAGUAAGUAAGACGGGGCCAGAUAAUCAGACCCCCGGCUCCCUCCCCGCCCGCUUGGGGUAUAAUCUCCCCCCAGCUCUGCCGCCCCCGCCAGGCGGGAGGGUUUAUCAGCAGGAGCGUUCCUCAGAUGGGACCCUGGCGGGUGAGAGCGCACCCCCUCUCCUGGAGCCCUCCCCCGGGGCGCCCCGAUUUUGGCGCCAGCUUGGUAGUUAAAGGAGCUUUUAGCCAGAAGAUGCUGGAGGCUGUUCCGGUGUCCUUCAGGCCGGAUCCUCCAGGCAGACCAGACUCUGCCUCUCCUUGGGACUAAGUGCUCUGUGUGCCGCAGGCUCUGUCCAAGGUACCGGGGAAAGCUAACGCCGGAAAUACAGGAGGGAAGCGAGUGCAGGCCCCUCCCCUCGCCCUGGCACUGCCUGCCACGGCGCCCCCUGGGGGGGGGGGAGCAUGUGCCGAUCUUUUUGAAUUUUGUUUGGAACGCGUUCCCCUUGUGCCGGGCCCCCAGACAGACAAAAACAAAGCACUCCCUGAGUUAGAAGUCUGUGAGGCGCCUUGUAAACUCGGACGUAUUGUGGAGCAUCAGGCGUUGCUCUCGGGGUCAUGGACUCCAGGUUAGCGAAGGCAGGUUGCCCUCGUCGGACUCUCGCUCAGUAGAACAGGAAGGAGAUCUUCUCUGCUUCCCUAUCAGCCUGCGGGCAGGGCCCGGCGGGAGAGGCCUGUUAGUGUGUGGGCCGGGGUCUCCCUGGGGCUCCCUGAUCCCCGGGCCCGAGGGCCGGGUCGGGCACCACUGCUGCCGCUUCCCCAUCAGCCUGCGGACUCUGACGGCCAGGCCGCCUCUCCGGUCACUCAGCGCAGGGCCCGGCGGGAGAGGCCGUUAGUGUGUGGGCCGGGGUCUCUCUGGGGCUCCCUGAUCCCCGGGCCUGGCCGGUGCCGAGGGCCGGGUCGGGCGCCGCCGCUGCCGCUUCCCCAUUAGCCUGCGGGCUCUGAUGGCCGGGCCGCCUCUCCGGUCACUCAGCGCAGGGCCCGCCGGGAGAGGCCGUUAGUGUGUGGGCCGGGGUCUCCCUGAGGCUCCCUGAUCCCCGGGCCCGGCCGGUGCCGAGGGCCGGGUCGGGCGCCGCCGCUGCCGCUUCUCCAUCAUCCCCCAAACUCCGAGGGCUCCCAGCUGGAUCCCGCAGGCGGUUAUCGGGUGCUUCGCGUAUGGACCAGAUACUAGAGACUCGAAGGCAAAGCCGGGCCAUCCGCCUGGGGGCGCCCGGGAGAAUCCGCAGACAGUGUUGGCUAAAUACCUGAAAACCUGGCGGAGGGGGCGGAGUCAGGCAGGCCGCUUGCGAGAGGUGGUGAUUGAAGUGGGCCUUGGAGGGGCCAGAGGCAGGGGGCGGAGGAGGAGGGUGGGGAGGAGCGGGACAGCCACGGGGACAGCCCCCGUCCCACCAAGACCCCAGAGCAGAGCUUUUCUGUGAGGAGCCCUCCUUGCCUCGCCCCUCGUUCGCUCUCCUUGGGAUCCACCUCGCAGAUAUCCUGGGAUCUCUGGUGUGUCAGGGUUUGGGGAGGAUGGGAGGAUCAGAGUCCGGAGCUCCCCUCCUCCCGGGAGCACUGGUGGCCACGGCCGC